rnacentral:rRNA from 1 species
GGUAACGGCUUACCAAGGCAACGAUGCAUAGCCGACCUGAGAGGGUGAUCGGCCACACUGGAACUGAGACACGGUCCAGACUCCUACGGGAGGCAGCAGUAGGGAAUCUUCCGCAAUGGGCGAAAGCGUGGGGAUCAAACAGGAUUAGAUACCCUGGUAGUCCACGCCGUAAACGAUGAGUGCUAAGUGUUAGGGGGUUUCCGCCCCUUAGUGCUGCAGCUAACGCAUUAAGCACUCCGCCUGGGG